rnacentral:rRNA from 1 species
AGCGAACGCUGGCGGCAGGCCUAACACAUGCAAGUCGAACGAACUCUUCGGAGUUAGUGGCGGACGGGUGAGUAACACGUGGGAACGUGCCUUUAGGUUCGGAAUAACCCAGGGAAACUUGUGCUAAUACCGAAUGUGCCCUUCGGGGGAAAGAUUUAUCGCCUUUAGAGCGGCCCGCGUCUGAUUAGCUAGUUGGUGAGGUAACGGCUCACCAAGGCGACGAUCAGUAGCUGGUCUGAGAGGAUGACCAGCCAAACUGAGACUGAGGCACGGCCUAUACUGCUACGGGAGUCAGCAGUGGGGAGUCUUGCGCAAGGGGCGAAAGCCUGACGCUGCCAUACCGCGUGAAGGAUAAAGGUCUUAGGAUUGUAAACCACUUUCGAUGGGGAAGAAACUACCUAUAGUAAUAAAGGAGCUGACGGUACCCAGAGAAGAAGCCACGGCCAACUCCG